AUUAUAAUUAUUGUUACCUGUGGUAACGCCACCAUGAUAUAACAUUUGUAUAUGUGGCAUUACCAGUUUUAUUAACUGUAUUUUAAAUAACUUGUAUUAAAUAUAAGCAUUGUAAAUAUUGAAACGGACAGCAGAUGGCGCCACCACUCAAAAUAAGUAUAAAAACCCACCCUCGUUCACACUCACUUCCUCUGUCUCCACACUGGCGUCUUCCGGCCUGGAAGUGUGUGCUGGCUGUUCCAUGGGUCCAGCGUCGCGGGUGGUUGAGAGCCUCAACGCGCACCACUCCUUGGCGUCCAUUGCUCUCUCGGCGUUUCUGGCCCGGGGUCUGCUGGGGCCGUUGCGUAACCAGGGGCUAUCGAAGCACCGCGCCGGCCGAGUAGGGCUAGAUGUGGGCGUGCGAUGGUAAGCUUGCCUUGCCUCGUGGCUAGCCUUUCUGAUACAAUAAUUUAACCACCUCUUUUCAAUUAGAUGGACCUACCAUGCUGCUGUCUUGUUUCCUCCCUGUUGUUUUGUAUAAACUGAAAAGCUAAUGGAAAAACAACGUGAACUGUGAACCAACUGAAAGCUAUGUUAACGCUGUGAAAUGAAACGAAACGUGUGUCAACUAAAGUACAAAGAGAAACCAACGUGAAACAUAGAAAUAAACUAUGUACAAGGAACAUGCUGCCUCUGUCCUUAUGGGUCGAACCUGUGUGCCUUAAAGCACAUUUUUUCCAGUUUACACUGGAUGGCGUUGUCGGGCUUUUAUUUAUUUUAUGUGACAUGACGUCAUGUCACAUAUAAUAAUCCUUGAACAAAGUAACAGUGAAGCUGAAUGUAUUAAGCUCUGAAUGGGGAACUGGGGGUGGGAUUAAAUAAGUUAUCAUCUUCCCACUCCCUUUCAGGUAGACAUGGGUCAUCUUGUUUAAAUACUGUAUAUUCUUUUUUUGUUGCACAAAUGACUUAACUAUAUUUUGUCUUUUUGAAGUAAAUGAAUGAAUGAAAUAAUGCUGACUGGCAUUUUGUAGGUAACACAAUCCAAC
rnacentral:lncRNA from 1 species